UUUACAAAACACAGCUAGGGAGCUUCGGGCACAGCUUUCACUGAAUUUCGAGCAGAGAAAAAGUGAAAAUCAAUAAAUCAUUCUGUGGAAUGUGCCCUCCGCUCCGGAGGAGCUAGCUCCGGUUCAUCCUUUGAGCGAACUUUGAGAAAACGAGAAUCAAUUGACUUUCGAAUGAAUUCGGGGGCACGUAGAAUUCAAUAAAGUGCAACUUGACCCUGCAGCAGGUGCCAUCACAGAAACCUAUUUCGAGCAUGGCUACCUUUUCAUCCAAGGACAAAGGAAAACUUUUUAAAGGCGAAAGGGAAAGCUAACCACAGACCGCAAAUACAAGUUCAAAACAGUUCCUGUUGCCAGAACAAAAAUAGAGUUUGCGGCCAAAUGUGUAACUUUUUUGUUGAGUUUUCUGGUCAAUGAAAUUACAUAAAUACUUGUUCUGUGAAAUUAUACAGAGGUAUAUUUUUGGCAUAAUCUGAAUAAAUUACAUGACACUUGAGGAUUGACGGGGUACCACGAACUCAUGUAGAUGUGUGUAACAUGUGGAAGGAAACGCAUCGAUAUUCACCAUCGAUCCAAUCAGCAGCAACCAUCAGUUCUCGUGGAACUCCCGCAAAUCGCGUUAGCAAUCUUCUGCUCAAUAAAAUUCACUUUUACAGUUUGUGAGAGGAUUCGACG
rnacentral:sRNA from 1 species